CAAGAUCUGUAAAACUCUAAUCCACAUCCUAUGAAUGCAACUCAUACGCUUUAAUUAAGCUAAAACCUC
rnacentral:tRNA from 1 species